UACGUAGGUGACCAGCGUUGUCCGGAUUUACUGGGCGUAAAGAGCGCGCAGGCGGUCGUUCAAGUCGAGUGUGAAAGCCCCCGGCUCAACUGGGGAGGGUCACUCGAUACUGAUCGACUUGAAGGCAGGAGAGGGAAGCGGAAUUCCUGGUGUAGCGGUGGAAUGCGCAGAUAUCAGGAGGAACACCGAUGGCGAAGGCAGGUCACUGGGCCGCAACUGACGCUGAGGAGCGAAAGCAUGGGGAGCGAACAGG
rnacentral:rRNA from 1 species